AGUCGAGUUAUUACUCAUGGUGGGCAAGACACAUCUGGUUUGAUUCAAGGUCACUCACAAGUUACUGUCGAAAGAGAUCUUGUUUCACAAGCUGAAGAAGAGGACAUGGAGGCUCUCCUUGGCACGUAUGUUAUGGGAAUUGGUGAAGCAGAAGCAUUUUCAGAAAGGUUAAAGAGGGAACUUCUGGCUUUAGAAGCAGCAAAUGUUCAUGCACUUGUUGAAUGUGAAUCCAUAAUAGAGGAGG